UGAGUAGAGCUUCAAGGCGUCCACAAUGUUACUCUCUACACAUACAGGAGUUUGGUUCGGUUCCUCUGUAACUCCCCACCCCAAUAUUGUCACAUCUCUUAAAUUUCAAACUAAACCCAAAUCUUUAAGGCUUCAUGCCUCCUCCUCACUCUUCAAUUUCCCUAUCGCAAGCAAGAUCAUGGUUAAAAAUUUUGGGUACGUGGGCUUCAAAUCAUCCACAUACAUAAUAGAAGAAGACAAAUUUCAUCACUUUUCCUAGAAAUUUCCAAGACCGACCGGUGCUCCUGUUACUUGCCUAUUUUCCAGAGCUUAUCUAUUACAACUCACCCAUGCAAAUCCUUUAUUACAACUCAUGAAGAGGUCUCUCAUAUUGAGAGCUUGGACUAUGAGAUCAAUGAGAAUGAUCUCUUCAAGCAUGACUGGAGAAGCAGAUCAAAAGUCCAAGUAUUGCAGUAUAUUUUCUUAAAAUGGACGCUGGCUUUCCUUGUUGGGCUUCUAACUGGCAUAAUUGCCACAUUCAUCAAUCUUGCAGUCGAGAAUAUUGCAGGGUACAAGCAUCUCUCCAUGGUUCGAUACAUAGAAGAAGAAAGGUAUUGUUAUAUCCUUGCACUAAAUUAAGAAACUCAUUUGAAAUAUUUUCAGCUAACAGAUAAUUCUCAAAUAUCCUUCACCCAAAAAAAAAAAAAAAUGUUUACCUUGGCUAGAGCUGGGAAUUGAGAAAUGCUUUGGCAAUCAUCUUGGUGUAUGCAGGUACCUGAUGGGAUUUAUAUUUUUUACUGGUGUUAAUUUUAUUCUGACCAUGGUUGCUGCUGUUCUCUGUGUGUGUUUCACACCCACUGCGGCUGGACCUGGUAUCCCAUAAAUCAAAGCUUAUCUCAAUGGGGUAGACA